UUAGUAUGAUGGAGCCUCCGACACCUAUAAUGCUGUGCUGGCCAACUUGAACAUCGUUUUUACCUCACUGUUUUCCAUGGAGUGUAUACUGAAGAUCAUUGCCUUUGGGGUUUUGAACUACUUCAAAGACGCCUGGAACAUCUUUGACUGUGUGACAGUCGUCGGGAGCAUCACAGAUAUUCUAGUCACAGAGCUUGGGGGCGAGACUUCCUGCUCUG